rnacentral:rRNA from 1 species
AGCGAACGCUGGCGGCAGGCUUAACACAUGCAAGUCGAACGCUCGUAGCAAUACGGGAGUGGCAGACGGGUGAGUAACGCGUGGGAAUAUGCCUUUUGGUUCGGAAUAACUCAGGGAAACUUGAGCUAAUACCGGAUAAGCCCGAGAGGGGACGGAUUUAUCGCCAAAAGAUUAGCUCGCGUCCGAUUAGCUUGUUGGUGAGGUAAUGGCUCACCAAGGCGACGAUCGGUAGCUGGUCUGAGAGGAUGAGAAGUCACAUUGGGACUGAGACACGGCCCAAACUCCUACGGGAGGCAGCAGUGGGGAAUAUUGGACAAUGGGCGCAAGCCUGAUCCAGCCAUGCCGCGUGAGUGAUGAAGGCCUUAGGGUUGUAAAGCUCUUUUGUCCGGGAAGAUAAUGACGGUACCGGAAGAAUAAGCCCCGGCUAACUUCGUGCCAGCAGCCGCAGUAA